UCAUAGGUAUUUUUAAUUGAUUUGUGAUGAGGUUCAAAACUCUCAUUCGGUCUUGAUGACAUAUCAGGUGAUCGAACUGUUGUCAGAAAAUAUCUUCUCGAGUUCAUCGAGGUGACUUGCACAGAAUAACACAUAAGCUAAGGAGCUCCAAGGGUGAGCUCGGGGGAACCCCUCCAAUAUUCAAGUCAGUAAGCUAUCAAUUUAGGGAGUGCUCGGAGUUCUCUCUCUCAAGUAGCAACUAUGAGUGCAGAGUUCGUAAUUGUUUACCUGGAGCUGGAGAUCUCCCUUUAUAUGAAUUGGAGAAAUUUUGGUAAGAAAUAUCUCUACCAUCCUAAUUCUUAAUUAGGCGGAUUUUGAGGAGUGUGAAUCUCAUCUUGACUUCUUUCCUAAGUGGAGUCAGUCUUCUUUAGGACUCUUGCUGUUUGGUUAUCAAGGGGAUUCCGAGGGUGGCAAGCAAGAUGAUUGCGUGGAUCCUCACUCCAGAGGAUAACGAGCAUCUUUCCAUGAUGUCUGUUACUGAGAAGAUUUUGUAACUCAUUGUUGCAACAAUGAAUCCAUCAGAAAGUUUAUGUUCGAGGUGGCUGCUUUGAAGCACAAGCGAAACACUAAGGAUCGGGUGGCUCAGCUUGAGGACAUGGCGAAGGUGUCUGAUCGGGAUACCGAGAAGAAAUCAAGAAGGCUUUAGCGAUGGCUUCGACAAGGGAUAUUAGGCAGGCAUUGAGGAUUUCAGGAGCUGGAAGGAGUUCAGGUUUGUCAUUCGAGAAGAAGGACUUUUUUACUUGGUGAGCUUCUACUAAGAAGGCGAGGAGAACUAUGAUCCAAAUAUGCCUCAACCAGAAUUUGCUUAAUGAGACCUGCCCUACUCUGGAGGGAAAAAUAUGAUCUUGCGAAGUCAAGGGAGGAGAUCAUGGAGUUUCAUCGUCUAGCCUGAGAAGAGGCCAAAAGAGCAUAUGAGAAAUCCGAAGAAGAGGAUUUCGAGGAGGAUGAGGUGGACCUCACUCAUUCUCCUCCUAUGAAUCCUUCCCCUGUUCGUUCCUCAAUUAUUGUUUUGGAUGGGAUAGGUGAGGAUGAGGCUCCUCGAGUUCCUGAGGAUAAUGUUUCUUUUGUUCAAUCCCCAACUCCUUCUAUUGAAGUCCUUACUGAUCUCCCACCGAUCAUGUGCCUAUAGAGAAUGAGGUUAACUCUAACAGAUUCCUUGUACUUUCAUCUUUUAAACAAUGAUGUACCAUUUUCUCUUUCAAUAAAUAAAAUUUGAUCUCUUCAGUUGUCCUA